UAGAACCGGCCGGUGAACCGGUUCACAACGGGAAAGCUUAUAAAAGCCCCGUUUCUGAAACCUAAUCAGCCCCCACUUUUUCCUAAAACCCUAAACACGAUUCUAACUCAUUCCCAACUGAUUUCCUACCUUUCCUUGGUGAUUUAGACAUUCAGUUUGUUCUAAUCAAAUAUUUUCUGGGUUUUCUAUAUUGAAUCGUUCUUAAUCUGUUCCAAGAGACCCGUCGACUGCUCGUGCUUCGGAGUCUAUGCAGGGUUAGCUGUUUGCCAAGAUUCACGUGGAUAAGCAAGCAGUUUAUGAUUUGAAAGCUGGUCCACUCCGAUUCUUUUGAUUCCUCGGAGGUUUUUAUGUUAUUAAACUAGUUUCUGUUUUCGAACUCUUAGACCGCAGUAGAACUAGCUUAUUUAUUACAUUUAACAUUACACUUUGGGUUUGUCGAUAUAUUCGAUUAUUUAUUAUUAGCUUGUUACACUGGAAUAUUUUAUUAUUAUAUUUAAGGCAUG